UGAUGAUCCAGAGGUUAAAUCAGCAGCAGCUUGUGUGUAGAAAGACUCUGACUGGACCAUGUUACUGGGAGGUGGAGUCAAGAGGAGAGCUUCAUCCACAUGUUUCUCAUUUAACAUCAUCAACAGAGCUGCAAUCAAUCUAUUCUAACAGAACCGACAAAUAAAUAAAUAAAUGAUUCA